UCUCCGUAGGUGAACCUGCGGAGGGAUCAUUACAGAGUUCAUGCCCUACCGGGUAGAUCUCCCACCCUAUGUUAUUAUUACUUUGUUGCUUUGGCGGGCCGUUAGGCUCCGGCCCGACUACCGGCCCCGGCUGGUAAGGGCCCGCCAGAGGACCCAAAACCCUGAAUAUUAGUGUCGUCUGAGUACUAUAUAAUAGUUAAAACUUUCAACAACGGAUCUCUUGGUUCUG
rnacentral:misc_RNA from 1 species